rnacentral:rRNA from 1 species
UCAGGUCUACAGCUCGAUGUCGAUUUAGGCGGCCGCGAAUUCGCCCAUUCGCUGAUCUUAAGCAUAUCAAUAAGCGGAGGAAAAGAAACUAACAAGGAUUCCCCUAGUAACUGCGAGUGAAGCGGGAAGAGCUCAAAUUUAAAAUCUGGUGUGCCCCAUGGUCGCACGAGUUGUAGUCUGGAGAAGCGUUUUCCGUAUUGUCCGUGUAUAAGUCCCUUGGAACAGGGCGUCAUAGAGGGUGAGAAUACCGUCUCUGACACGGACUAUCAAUGCUAUGUGAUGCGCUCUCAAAGAGUCGAGUUGUUUGGGAAUGCAGCUCAAAAUGGGUGGUAAAUUCCAUCUAAAGCUAAAUAUAGGCGAGAGACCGAUAGCGAACAAGUACCGUGAGGGAAAGAUGAAAAGCACUUUGGAAAGAGAGUUAAACAGUACGUGAAAUUGCUGAAAGGGAAACGCUUGAAGUCAGUCACAUCUGCCGGGACUCAGCCUUGCUUCUGCUUGGUGUAUUUUCUGGUUUGAUGGGCCAACAUCAAUUUUGACCGUUGGAGAAAGGCUUUGGGAAUGUGGCACCUUUGGGUGUGUUAUAGCCCUUUGUCGUAUACGGCGGUUGGGAUUGAGGACUGCAGCACGCCUUCAUGGCCGGGGUUCGCCUACGUACGUGCUUAGGAUGUUGGCAUAAUGGCUUUAAGCGACCCGUCUUGAAACACGG